rnacentral:tRNA from 1 species
GAAAUAUUAGUUAAAAAUAUAACAAUAAAUUGUCAAUUUAUAAUAGCCCUUUAUAGCGCAUAUUUCU